rnacentral:rRNA from 1 species
UGGGGAAUUGUUCACAAUGGGCGCAAGCCUGAUGACGCAACGCCGCGUGGGGGAUGAAGGUCUUCGGAUCGUAAACCCCUGUCGAAUGGGACGAAUAGCCUUCGGGUUAAUACCCCGGAGGAAUGACGGUACCGUUAAAGGAAGCCACGGCUAACUCUGUGCCAGCAGCCGCGGUAAUACGUAGGGACCAAGCGUUGUUCGGAUUUACUGGGCGUAAAGGGCGCGUAGGCGGCUUGACAAGUCACUUGUGAAAUCUCUGGGCUUAACCCAGAACGGCCAAGUGAAACUGUCAUGCUAGAGUGCAGAAGGGGCAAUCGGAAUUCUUGGUGUAGCGGUGAAAUGCGUAGAUAUCAAGAGGAACACCUGAGGUGAAGACGGGUUGCUGGGCUGACACUGACGCUGAGGCGCGAAAGCCAGGGGAGCAAACGGGAUUAGAUACCCGAGUAGUCCCUGAGCGGGCUGGCAAGGC